UACGUAGGGUGCAAGCGUUGUCCGGAAUUAUUGGGCGUAAAGAGCUCGUAGGCGGUUUGUCGCGUCGAAUGUGAAAUCCCGGGGCUCAACCCCCGGGCCUGCAUUCGAUACGGGCAGACUAGAGUUCGGUAGGGGAGUCUGGAAUUCCUGGUGUAGCGGUGAAAUGCGCAGAUAUCAGGAAGAACACCCGGUGGCGAAGGCGCUUCUGGGACGGUACUGACGCUGAGACGCGAAAGCCAGGGGAGCGAACGGG
rnacentral:rRNA from 1 species